GAUGAACGCUAGCGGCAGGCCUAAUACAUGCAAGUCGAGGGGUAGAAGAGGCUUGCUUCUUUGAGACCGGCGCACGGGUGCGGAACGCGUAUGCAACCUACCUUCAUCUGGGGGAUAGCCCGGAGAAAUCCGGAUUAAUACCGCAUAAAAUCACAGUAUGGCAUUCACCAAUGAUCAAACAUUCAUGGGAUGGACAUGGGCAUGCGUGUCAUUAGAUAGUUGGCGAGGUAACGGCCCACCAAGGCGACGAUGACUAGGGGAUCUGAGAGGAUGGCCCCCCACACUGGUACUGAGACACGGACGAGACUCCUACGGGAGGCAGCAGUAAGGAAGAUUGGUCAAUGGAGGCAACUCUGAACCAGCCAUGCCGCGUGCAGGAAGACUGCCCUAUGGGUUGUAAACUGCUUUUAUUCGGGAAUAAACCUUAUUACGUGUAAUAAGCUGAAUGUACCGAAGGAAUAAGGAUCGGCUAACUCCGUGCCAGCAGCCGCCGUAA
rnacentral:rRNA from 1 species